GACCGCGUAGCUCAAUCGGUAGAGUGACAGACUACGAUUUCACCGGUUCCUUAAAUAGGAAUUGGAUCAGUAGCGUCAUCUGUAGGUCGCGGGUUCGACCCCCGUCGUGGUCU